GUGGGGAAUCUUCCGCAAUGGACGAAAGUCUGACGGAGCAACGCCGCGUGAGUGAAGAAGGUUUUCGGAUCGUAAAGCUCUUUCGUUAGGGACGAACGUGCUCUUUGUGAAUAAUGAGGAGUAAUGACGGUACCUAAAUAAGAAGCCACGGCUAACUACGUGCCAGCAGCCGCGGUAAUACGUAGGUGGCAAGCGUUGUCCGGAAUUAUUGGGCGUAAAGCGCGCGCAGGCGGGAUAUCAAGUCUGUCUUAAAAGUGCGAGGCUCAACCUCGUGAGGGGACAGAAACUGGUAUUCUUGAGUGUCGGAGAGGAAAGUGGAAUUCCAAGUGUAGCGGUGAAAUGCGUAGAGAUUUGGGAGAACACCAGUGGCGAAGGCGACUUUCUGGACGAUGUCUGACGCUGAGGCGCGAAAGCUAGGGGAGCGAACGGGAUUAGAAACCCGUGUAGUCC
rnacentral:rRNA from 1 species